rnacentral:rRNA from 1 species
AGGGGGCAUGUGAGGGCUGUCGCUGACUCAAAGUCGUGCACGCCCGAGUGUGUCCUCUCGCAUAAUAAUCCAUCUCACCCUUUGUGCAUCGCCGCGUGGGCACCCUUUGGGAUCAUCUCGGAGGGGGCUCGCGUUUUCACACAAACCCCCCUUUUAAAAGUGUAGAAUGACCUCAUUUAUGCGCUAACACGCAAUCAAUACAACUUUCAACAACGGAUCUCUUGGCUCUCGCAUCGAUGAAGAACGCAGCGAAAUGCGAUACGUAAUGUGAAUUGCAGAAUUCAGUGAAUCAUCGAAUCUUUGAACGCACCUUGCGCCCCUUGGUAUUCCGAGGGGCACACCCGUUUGAGUGUCGUGAAAACCUCAACCUCCUUGGUUUCUUCUGGAGACCAAAGGCAGGCUUGGACUUUGGAGGCCUUUGCUGGAACCUCUCUCUUUUGAAGGCCAGCUCCUCUUAAACGAAUUAGCAGGGUCCUCUUUGCCGAUCCUCGACGUGUGAUAAGAUGUUUCCAUGUCUUGGUUUCUGGCUCUGUCACCUUUGGGACCCGCUUCUAACCGUCUUGACCUUGCGUCGAGACAACGUUCGAGCAUGUCUCCCUUCUCGGGAAGCUCCCUCGACCCCACGAACCCUUGACCUCAAAUCGGGUGAGACUACCCGCUGAACUUAAGCAUAUCAAUAAGCGGAGGAAAAGAAACUAACAAGGAUUCCCCUAGUAACUGCGAGUGAAGCGGGAAAAGCUCAAAUUUAAAAUCUGGCGGUCUUUGGCCGUCCGAGUUGUAAUUUAGAGAAGCGUCYUUCCGCGCUGGACCGUGUACAAA